rnacentral:rRNA from 1 species
AUUGAACGCUGGCGGCAGGCCUAACACAUGCAAGUCGAGCGGUAGAGAGGUGCUUGCAUCUCUUGAGAGCGGCGGACGGGUGAGUAAUGCCUAGGAAUCUGCCUAGUGGUGGGGGGAUAACGUUCGGAAACGGACGCUAAUACCGCAUACGUCCUACGGGAGAAAGCGGGGGAUCUUCGGACCUCGCGCCAUUAGAUGAGCCUAGGUCGGAUUAGCUAGUUGGUGAGGUAAUGGCUCACCAAGGCGACGANCGUAACUGGUCUGAGAGGAUGAUCAGUCACACUGGAACUGA